rnacentral:rRNA from 1 species
AACGAACGCUGGCGGCAGGCUUAACACAUGCAAGUCGAGCGCGUGGCAACACGAGCGGCAGACGGGUGAGUAACACGUGGGAACGUACCCUUUUCUACGGAAUAACGCAGGGAAACUUGUGCUAAUACCGUAUACGCCCUUUUGGGGAAAGAUUUAUCGGAGAAGGAUCGGCCCGCGUUGGAUUAGCUAGUUGGUAGGGUAAAGGCCUACCAAGGCGACGAUCCAUAGCUGGUCUGAGAGGAUGAUCAGCCACAUUGGGACUGAGACACGGCCCAAACUCCUACGGGAGGCAGCAGUGGGGAAUAUUGGACAAUGGGCGCAAGCCUGAUCCAGCUAUGCCGCGUGAGUGAUGAAGGCCUUAGGGUUGUAAAGCUCUUUCACCGAUGAAGAUAAUGACGGUAGUCGGAGAAGAAGCCCCGGCUAACUUCGUGCCAGCAGCCGCCGUAACAC